UACGGAGGGGGCUAGCGUUGUUCGGAAUUACUGGGCGUAAAGCGCACGUAGGCGGCUUUGUAAGUUAGAGGUGAAAGCCCAGGGCUUAACCCUGGAAUUGCCUUUAAGACUGCAUCGCUAGAAUCGUGGAGAGGUGAGUGGAAUUCCGAGUGUAGAGGUGAAAUUCGUAGAUAUUCGGAAGAACACCAGUGGCGAAGGCGACUCACUGGACACGUAUUGACGCUGAGGCGCGAAAGCGUGGGGAGCAAACAGG
rnacentral:rRNA from 1 species